GUCAGUGUGAUUUAGUGGUUUGAAUGUUGGACUGCGAUUCUAGAGAUCAGGGUUCAAUUUCCCACUCAAG